GACAGAGGGGGCAAGCGUUGCUCGGAAUUACUGGGCGUAAAGGGCGAGUAGGCGGGAUGGCAAGUCGGUCGUGAAAUCCCUCGGCUCAACCGAGGAACGUCGAUCGAUACUGCUGUUCUUGAGGAUUGCAGAGGAGACUGGAAUUCCCGGUGUAGCGGUGAAAUGUGUAGAGAUCGGGAGGAACACCGGUGGCGAAGGCGGGUCUCUGGGCAAUUCCUGACGCUGAGGCGCGAAAGCGUGGGGAGCAAACGGG
rnacentral:rRNA from 1 species